CUAAGGCUCCAGAGGAAGCCACGGCUAACUCUGUGCCAGCAGCCGCGGUAAUACAGAGGCGGCAAGCGUUGUUCGGAAUUAUUGGGCGUAAAGAGCACGUAGGCGGCCUUGCAAGUCAGUUGUGAAAGCCUUCCGCUUAACGGAAGAAUGCCAGCUGAUACUACAGGGCUUGAGUACGGGAGGGGAGAGUGGAACUUCUGGUGGAGCGGUGAAAUGCGUAGAUAUCAGAAGGAACGCCGGCGGCGAGAGCGACUCUCUGGCCCGAAACUGACGCUGAGUGUGCGAAAGCUAGGGGAGCAAACGGGAUUAGAUACCCCGGUAGUCCUAGCCGUAAA
rnacentral:rRNA from 1 species